CAGCCUCCCCGGGUAACAGCGCGUCCGUCUCCGCCAUCGCCAACAGCCGCUCACAUCAUCUCAGUCACGUGAUUCCCCCAAACCCUGCCCCUGGAAACGGUGAGAGAUGGGUUACCUGACUUUGAAGGGGCAAUUCUAUAUAGAAGCUAUCAAGUUAAACAAAGAAAAGUGAAUGCAGUAAUAAAAACAGAUUAAUACCCAAUUCCUUACUCAGAAGAUUGUCUCGAUUGGUUGGCAGUGCCUCAUUCCUUACUAAGACUGAACUAUUGAAAGGUUACUGGAAAGUACCAUUAACAUCAAGAACUAAAGAGAUAUCAGUUUUUGUCAUGCUAAA